rnacentral:rRNA from 1 species
CAGCCGCCGCGGUAAUACCGGCGGCCCGAGUGGCGGCCACUAUUAUUGGGCUUAAAGCGUCCGUAGCCGGGUUGGUUAGUCUCCCGGGAAAUCUGGCCGCUUAACGGUCAGAAUUCCGGGAGAUACUGCCAGCCUAGGGACCGGGAGAGGCCGAGGGUAUUCCCGGAGUAGGGGUGAAAUCCUAUAAUCCCGGGAGGACCACCUGUGGCGAAGGCGCUCGGCUGGAACGGGUCCGACGGGGAGGGACGAAGGCCAGGGGAGCAAACCGGAUUAGAUACCCGGGUAGUCCUGGCUGUAAAGGAUGCGGGCUAGGUGUCGGGUGAGCUUCGGGCUCGCCCGGUGCCGUAGGGAAGCCGUUAAGCCCGCCGCCUGGGGAGUACGGCCGCAAGGCUGAAACUUAAAGGAAUUGGCGGG